rnacentral:rRNA from 1 species
CCUAUACAUGCAAGUCGAACGAAGCCUUCGGGCUUAGUGGCGAACGGGUGCGUAACGCGUGGGAACCUGCCCUUAGGUUCGGAAUAACAGUUAGAAAUGACUGCUAAUGCCGGAUAAUGUCUUCGGACCAAAGAUUUAUCGCCUUUGGAUGGGCCCGCGUAGGAUUAGGUAGUUGGUGUGGUAAUGGCGCACCAAGCCGACGAUCCUUAGCUGGUCUGAGAGGAUGAUCAGCCACACUGGGACUGAGACACGGCCCAGACUCCUACGGGAGGCAGCAGUAGGGAAUAUUGGACAAUGGGCGAAAGCCUGAUCCAGCAAUGCCGCGUGAGU